rnacentral:rRNA from 1 species
UCAGUAGGCGGUGUGGCAAGUCGGGAGUGAAAUCUAUGGGCUUAACCCAUAGGCUGCUUCCGAAACUGCCAUGCUUGAGUGUGGGAGAGGCGCGUGGAAUUGCAGGUGUAGCGGUGAAAUGCGUAGAUAUCUGCAGGAACACCCGUGGCGAAAGCGGCGCGCUGGACCACAACUGACGCUGAAUGACGAAAGCUAGGGGAGCAAACAGGAUUAGAUACCCUGGUAGUCCUAGCCCUAAACGAUCAGGACUUGGGGUGCCGCACGUUCGUGCGUCGUCCCGGAGCUAACGCGUUAAGUCCUGCACCUGGGGAGUACGGUCGCAAGACUGAA